CAACCCUCAGGCCCCUAGCUGGUCUGGCGUUGGGGCAUCUGCGGCGACCCGCAGGCCCUGAAAGACAGUGGCGGUACCCACUAGCACUCCGGGCGCAGUAGAUGUAUUUCUCGCCUAGGAUGUCUAGCGGGUUGGCCGGCCAUAAAACUCCCUAAUCUUCGGAA
rnacentral:misc_RNA from 1 species